rnacentral:rRNA from 1 species
GACGAACGCUGGCGGCGUGCUUAACACAUGCAAGUCGAACGAAGUGGCGAACGGGUGAGUAAUACGUGGGUAACCUGCCCUCCUUUUUGGGAUAAGCCUUGGAAACGGGGUCUAAUACCUAAUCAUGGUUGAUGGGCUCGCGGCGUAUGAGCUUGUUGGGGGGGUGAUGGCCUACUAAGGAGGUGACGGGUCGGCGGCCUGGGAGGGGGACCGGCAACAUUGGAAGGGAGAUACGGCCCAGAGACCUACGGGUGGCAGCAGUUGGGGAAAUUGCACAAGGGACGAAGGCCUGAUGCAGCGAAGCCGAGUGGGUGUUGAAGGCUUUCGGGUUGUAAACCUCUUACGCUAUCGAACGGGUAGGUGGAGAAGAAGCGCCGGCUAACUACGUGCCAGCCGCCGCGGUAAUAC